rnacentral:rRNA from 1 species
CCUCGCGCCAUUAGAUGAGCCUAGGUCGGAUUAGCUAGUUGGUGAGGUAAUGGCUCACCAAGGCGACGAUCCGUAACUGGUCUGAGAGGAUGAUCAGUCACACUGGAACUGAGACACGGUCCAGACUCCUACGGGAGGCAGCAGUGGGGAAUAUUGGACAAUGGGCGAAAGCCUGAUCCAGCCAUGCCGCGUGUGUGAAGAAGGUCUUCGGAUUGUAAAGCACUUUAAGUUGGGAGGAAGGGUAGUAACCUAAUACGUUGCUACUUUGACGUUACCGACAGAAUAAGCACCGGCUAACUUCGUGCCAGCAGCCGCGGUAAUACGAAGGGUGCAAGCGUUAAUCGGAAUUACUGGGCGUAAAGCGCGCGUAGGUGGUUCAGUAAGUUGGAAGUGAAAUCCCCGGGCUCAACCUGGGAACUGCUUUCAAAACUGCUGAGCUAGAGUACGGUAGAGGGUGGUGGAAUUUCCUGUGUAGCGGUGAAAUGCGUAGAUAUAGGAAGGAACACCAGUGGCGAAGGCGACCACCU